rnacentral:rRNA from 1 species
UACGUAGGGGGCAAGCGUUGUCCGGAUUUAUUGGGCGUAAAGAGCGUGUAGGCGGCCAGAUAGGUCCGUUGUGAAAACUCGAGGCUCAACCUCGAGACGCCGAUGGAAACCAUUUGGCUAGAGUCCGGAAGGGGAGAGUGGAAUUCCUGGUGUAGCGGUGAAAUGCGCAGAUAUCAGGAGGAACACCGAUGGCGAAGGCAGGUCUCUGGGCCACUACUGACGCUGAGGAGCGAAAGCAUGGGUAGCGAACAGG